GUAGUACUCCCUCCGUUCGGAAAUACUUGUCAUCAAAAUGAAUAAAAGGGGAUGUAUCUAGAUGUAUAUUAGGUCUAGAUACAUCUUUUUUAUCCAUUUUGAUGACAAGUAUUUUUGGACGGAGGGAGUACUUG
rfam:Triticum aestivum genome assembly, contig: Triticum_aestivum_CS42_TGACv1_scaffold_361276_4DS